AGAGUUUUGCUCUUUCCCUCAGUUAUCUGGAGCACAGAGCCCUUCUGCACCAUUAGGAAUUGUGUGUUUACACUGAUUCCCUGCAGCACCACUUGAACUCUUCAACUCCUCCUCUUCCAAGGAUGAAAUCCUGUGGCAUGGAAACUCCAGUGCGAUGAGCUAAAAUAGGUUAUUUGUUUGUAAAGAUGAAGGAGGAAAGGGGAGGAGAAUGGUUUGGAGUCAGCUUUACCAAAAACAUCAUUUAAGGGCCAAUUUGGAAGCC
rnacentral:lncRNA from 1 species